CCAAUUUCACCCAAAUCGAUUCAUUCUACUUCAGAUUUCAAGUCCUGCGGUAACAGAUUGACGCUAGAAAGAGGACUGUAAUUUCUUUUAUGAGAAAGAUGGUCAAGGCAAGGGCUUAGCAUCCUUCUCCCUCUGCUCCAAAAAGAGUACUAAAGGCACCACUGCAACAGUCAAUUAUUGUUGAUCCUCAGUAAUUCAGCUUCCUCGUUCAGCAAGUCUAAGCCCUGACAGCAACUGUUCAAUAGCUUCAAA
rnacentral:lncRNA from 1 species